rnacentral:rRNA from 1 species
CUUUACUAUAGCGUGUUAUUGAAAUAAUGUUUGUGCUGUUUAGUAUAGGUGGGAGCCUUUGAAGCUUGGACCCUAGUCCAAGUGGAGGCAAUAGUGAAAUACCACCCUGUACUGACGUUAUUUCUAACUUGAUUUUAACCUGAUCAAGGACAGUGGCUCGUGGGUAGUUUAACUGGGGCGGUUGCCUCCUAAAUGGUAACGGAGGCGUUUAUUAAGGUAGGCUAGGCGCGGAUGGAAAUCGCGCUGGUAGUGCAAACGCAUAAGCCUGCUUGACUGCAAGAGUGGCGACUCGCGCAGGUACGAAAGUAGAAGUUAGUGAUCCGAUGCGUUCGAGUGGAAGACGCAAAGCCCAACGGAUAAAAGUUA